GACGAACCGUGCAAACGUUGUUCGGAAUCACUGGGCUUAAAGGGCGCGUAGGCGGAUUGUUAAGUCAGGGGUGAAAUCCUGGAGCUCAACUCCAGAACUGCCUUUGAUACUGGCGAUCUUGAGUCCGGGAGAGGUGAGUGGAACUGCGAGUGUAGAGGUGAAAUUCGUAGAUAUUCGCAAGAACACCAGUGGCGAAGGCGGCUCACUGGCCCGGUACUGACGCUGAGGUGCGAAAGCGUGGGGAGCAAACAGG
rnacentral:rRNA from 1 species